rnacentral:rRNA from 1 species
CCCAAACCGACACAGGUGGUCAGGUAGAGAAUACCAAGGCGCUUGAGAGAACUCGGGUGAAGGAACUAGGCAAAAUGGUGCCGUAACUUCGGGAGAAGGCACGCUGAUAUGUAGGUGAAGUCCCUCGCGGAUGGAGCUGAAAUCAGUCGAAGAUACCAGCUGGCUGCAACUGUUUAUUAAAAACACAGCACUGUGCAAACACGAAAGUGGACGUAUACGGUGUGACGCCUGCCCGGUGCCGGAAGGUUAAUUGAUGGGGUCAGCGCAAGCGAAGCUCUUGAUCGAAGCCCCGGUAAACGGCGGCCGUAACUAUAACGGUCCUAAGGUAGCGAAAUUCCUUGUCGGGUAAGUUCCGACCUGCACGAAUGGCGUAAUGAUGGCCAGGCUGUCUCCACCCGAGACUCAGUGAAAUUGAACUCGCUGUGAAGAUGCAGUGUACCCGCGGCAAGACGGAAAGACCCCGUGAACCUUUACUAUAGCUUGACACUGAACAUUGAGCCUUGAUGUGUAGGAUAGGUGGGAGGCUUUGAAGUGUGGACGCCAGUCUGCAUGGAGCCGACCUUGAAAUACCACCCUUUAAUGUUUGAUGUUCUAACGUGGACCCGUGAUCCGGGUUGCGGACAGUGUCUGGUGGGUAGUUUGACUGGGGCGGUCUCCUCCUAAAGAGUAACGGAGGAGCACGAAGGUUGGCUAAUCCUGGUCGGACAUCAGGAGGUUAGUGCAAUGGCAUAAGCCAGCUUGACUGCGAGCGUGACGGCGCGAGCAGGUGCGAAAGCAGGUCAUAGUGAUCCGGUGGUUCUGAAUGGAAGGGCCAUCGCUCAACGGAUAAAAGGUACUCCGGGGAUAACAGGCUGAUACCGCCCAAGAGUUCAUAUCGACGGCGGUGUUUGGCACCUCGAUGUCGGCUCAUCACAUCCUGGGGCUGAAGUAGGUCCCAAGGGUAUGGCUGUUCGCCAUUUAAAGUGGUACGCGAGCUGGGUUUAGAACGUCGUGAGACAGUUCGGUCCCUAUCUGCCGUGGGCGCUGGAGAACUGAGGGGGGCUGCUCCUAGUACGAGAGGACCGGAGUGGACGCAUCACUGGUGUUCGGGUUGUCAUGCCAAUGGCACUGCCCGGUAGCUAAAUGCGGAAGAGAUAAGUGCUGAAAGCAUCUAAGCACGAAACUUGCCCCGAGAUGAGUUCUCCCUGACCCUUUAAGGGUCCUGAAGGAACGUUGAAGACGACGACGUUGAUAGGCCGGGUGUGUAAGCGCAGCGAUGCGUUGAGCUAACCGGUACUAAUGAACCGUGAGGCUUAACCUUACAACGCCGAAGGUGUUU